rnacentral:rRNA from 1 species
GAUGAACGCUGGCGGCGUGCCUAAUACAUGCAAGUCGAGCGAACGGACGAGAAGCUUGCUUCUCUGAUGUUAGCGGCGGACGGGUGAGUAACACGUGGAUAACCUACCUAUAAGACUGGGAUAACUUCGGGAAACCGGAGCUAAUACCGGAUGAUAUUUUGAACCGCAUGGUUCAAAGGUGAAAGACGGUCUUGCUGUCACUUAUAGAUGGAUCCGCGCUGCAUUAGCUAGUUGGUAAGGUAACGGCUUACCAAGGCAACGAUGCAUAGCCGACCUGAGAGGGUGAUCGGCCACACUGGAACUGAGACACGGUCCAGACUCCUACGGGAGGCAGCAGUAGGGAAUCUUCCGCAAUGGGCGAAAGCCUGACGGAGCAACGCCGCGUGAGUGAUGAAGGUCUUCGGAUCGUAAAACUCUGUUAUUAGGGAAGAACAUAUGUGUAAGUAACUGUGCACAUCUUGAUGGUACCUAAUCAGAAAGCCACGGCUAACUACGUG